AAGAAUCUAAUAAUUUAAAUUUCUCAAACAAUCAACUAUUUUUCACCAUUUGAAAGAUAAACAUCUCCUAAAUCCAACCACAUUGUCCGAUUUCAAAGAGGCUUUACGGCAAAAGCAUAAAGUUAGGUUAUGUUAGGAGAGUUAGGAGAGUAGGAGAGUUAGGAGAGUACAUUGAAAAUAGCUGUGUAAAAUAGCUGUGUAUCCUUUUCCCUCUCGCUCUCAUCCAACACUUCUCACUCUCCCCCUACUCGGAUGGUAUUGCGCCGUCCCAACCUUCGCUCUCUCUCUCCCGCUACUCUCUCCUCUUCCAUCCUAUCCUCUCUUCCCCCUGCUCAAACCUUAUCCAACCUAUCUCCUGAUUCUGCCUCCUCAACCCUCCUCUCCUCCCUCUCUGCAUCCUUUGAUUUCCUCUGUCCCCUAUCCUCCAGGCCGGCUCGGUCCUCCCCUCCUGCUCCGUGGCUCGACGACUCACUGCGAGCUCACAGAACAGGGCUCCGGGCAGCCGAGCGGAAAUGGAGGAAAACUCGCCUCCCUGCGGACCUGGCAUCCUUUCACUCCCUCCUCUCUACAUUUUCCUCUUCUGUCUCUGCUGCUAAAGCCACUUUCUACCACUCUAAACUCCAAGCAUCUGCCUCUAACCCUAGGAAGCUCUUUGCUACCUUCUCCUCCCUCCUUAAUCCUCCUCCCCCUCCCCCUCCCUCCUCCCUCUCUGCGGAUGACUUCGUCAACCAUUUUGAAAAGAAGGUUGACGACAUCCGAUCCUCGUUUGCUAAGUCAAACGACACUGCUGGUCCUGCUCACACUGCCCUACCCUGUGCUUUGACCUCUUUCUCCCCUCUCUCUCCAGAUGAACUCUCGCGUCUUGUGACGGCCGGCCGCCCAACAACCUGCCCACUUGACCCUAUCCCCUCCUCUCUUCUCCAGACCAUUUCCGGAGACCUUCUCCCCUACCUCACCUCGCUCAUCAACGCAUCCUUGACCGCUGGCUACGUCCCUUCCGUCUUCAAGAGAGCGAGAGUUGCACCCCUUCUGAAAAAACCUACACUCGAUCCCUCCGAUGUCAACAACUACAGGCCAGUAUCCCUUCUUUCCUUUCUCUCCAAAACUCUUGAACGCGCCGUGCUUGGCCAGCUCUCUUGCUAUCUCUCUCAGAAUGACCUUCUUGAUCCUAAUCAGUCAGGUUUCAAGACUGGGCAUUCAACUGAGACUGCUCUUCUCUGUGUCACGGAGGCUCUCCGCACUGCUAAAGCUAACUCUCUCUCCUCUGCUCUCAUCCUUCUAGACCUAUCUGCUGCCUUUGAUACNNNNNNNNNNNNNNNNNNNNUUAUGCACUAACCUUUGACAAUCUUCCUCAGAUGACACUCCUAGGACAUUAUGUUAUACAAUACAUGCAUUUUUUUGUUCCAUCAAGUUCAUAUUUAUAUCCAAAAACAGCAUUUUACAGUAGCGGUGAAAUUCAGAUUUUUUUUUCUCUCAAAUGCUUCCGGUCAAUCAACGUU
rnacentral:lncRNA from 8 species